rnacentral:misc_RNA from 1 species
CAACCCUCAAGCUCUGCUUGGUAUUGGGCUACGCCAUCGCGGCAGGCCUUAAAAUUAGUGGCGGUGCCGUCUCGGCUCUAAGCGUAGUAACAAUCUCUCGCUCUGGAGACCUGGCGGUGCUUGCCAGACAACCACCAAUUUUUUUAU